UACGGGGGGAGCAAGCGUUGUUCGGAUUUACUGGGCGUAAAGGGCGCGUAGGCGGCACCGCAAGUCGACUGUGAAAUCUCCGGGCUUAACCCGGAAAGGUCAGCCGAUACUGCGGGGCUAGAGUGCAGAAGGGGCAACUGGAAUUCUCGGUGUAGCGGUGAAAUGCGUAGAUAUCGAGAGGAACACCUGCGGCGAAGGCGGGUUGCUGGGCUGACACUGACGCUAAUGCGCGAAAGCUAGGGGAGCGAACGGG
rnacentral:rRNA from 1 species